rnacentral:lncRNA from 1 species
AAGUGGUGGAAACAAAACCUUGAGGGACGCGUGGAGAAAGAAUUGGCUACAGUGUUAAAGAGGACCUUUGGGCAGUGGGCAAUUGCUGGCUGGCUCCAGGCGCGUGUCUGAGGGUCUCUGACCAACUGUAUGAUAGAUUCGGGCGCGUGGACAGCACGUGGGACUACGGGGAGAGGACAUGUACACAAAGAUUUGGCUCCAGAUCCAAAAUGUCAUGUAUUUGGCAAUUUUAUUUAUGGUAGCACUCCCCACCCCUCCCAUCUGCUCUUUUCCCUUCCCUCCACUCCCCUCCCCUAUGCUCCCUGUCCCGACACUCCCCUCCCCUCCCCUCCCCUAUACUACCCUACACACCCCUAUACUACCCUACACUCCCCUCCCCUCCCCUAUACUACCCUACACUCUGCUACACUCCCCUCCCCUACACAGCCCUACACACCGCUGUAAUCCCCUCCCCUACACUACCCUACAUUCCCCUUCGCUACACUACCCUACAUUACCCUAUGCUCCCCUCCCCUAUGCUCCCCUACACUCCCCUCCCCUAUCCUACCCUACACUCCCCUAAACUCCACUCCCCUACACUACCUUCUACUCUCCUAUGCUCCCUUCCCCUCUACUAUGCUACACUACGCUAUGCUACACUACCCUAUCCUACCCUCCCUUAUCCUAUUCUCCCCUUACACUAUCUUCCCCUCCCCUCCCCUCCAAUCCCCUCCAAGUCCCCUCCAACCCUGCCCUCCUGCUGCACUCACUUGGGGGCCGCAGGGCUGCUUCUCACUCCUCUCUCCCAGCAUCUGUAACAUCACAGAUGUUUUUCCUUUUUUCAGUCUGCUCUCCCAGAAACCCAGGCAGCAUCGCUCCUUGACUAGGCCAUGGCCAGUAUCUGGUCUCUUUUGGAGCCAGCUGGAGCUGGCUCUGGUCUGACAUGGGGCAGCUGCUGGGCUCUGCUCUCAGAAACCACCCGUUCUGCCCCUUGCGACCAAAGCCUUACCACAUGAACCUAACAGAAAGUGGAAU